ensembl:misc_RNA 7SK 7SK RNA
GGAUGUGAGGGUGAUUUGGCUACAAAAUCUAUCACUCCAUUGAUCACCAGGGUUUAUUUAGCUGAUUUGGCUGGCUCAGGCAGGUGUCUUUUUUCCUCCUCACUAUUCUGUGUACAUCCCUCGUGAAGCUGCACAAUGGCUGGUUGAAGAGGACAACCUUCACCAAAUAAAGACAGACUAGUGAGUCUCCUGUUGAGGAUAUACGAGUAGCUGCUCUUUCCUGCUAGAAACUCUAAACAUGUUCUCAAAAAUGGGAAAACCAGGACUAUGAAUCUAGUUCACUUGGAUAGUGUGCUGCAUUGCCUUGUGUAUAGCCCAGGUUU